CACGUAGGGGGCGAGCGUUGUCCGGAAUCAUUGGGCGUAAAGAGCUCGUAGGCGGCUUGUCACGUCGGGUGUGAAAGACCGGGGCUUAACCCCGGUUCUGCAUUCGAUACGGGCUGGCUAGAGUCCGGAAGAGGAGAGUGGAAUUCCUGGUGUAGCGGUGAAAUGCGCAGAUAUCAGGAGAACACCCGGUGGCGAAGGCGGUCUCUGGGACGUACUGACGCUGAGACGAAGAACUAGGGGAGCGAACAGG
rnacentral:rRNA from 1 species